CCUACGGGAGGCAGCAGUGAGGAAUAUUGGUCAAUGGACGAGAGUCUGAACCAGCCAAGUAGCGUGAAGGAUGACUGACCUAUGGGUUGUAAACUUCUUUUAUAUGGGAAUAAAAUGUUCCACGUGUGGGAGUUUGUAUGUACCAUAUGAAUAAGGAUCGGCUAACUCCGUGCCAGCAGCCGCGGUAAUACGGAGGAUCCGGGCGUUAUCCGGAUUUAUUGGGUUUAAAGGGAGCGUAGAUGGGUUGGUAAGUCAGUUGUGAAAGUUUGCGGCUCAACCGUAAAAUUGCAAUUGAUACUGGCAGUCUUGAGUACAGUUGAGGUAGGCGGAAUUCGUGGUGUAGCGGUGAAAUGCUUAGAUAUCACGAAGAACUCCGAUUGCGAAGGCAGCUUACUAAACUGCCACUGACAUUGAUGCUCGAAAGUGUGGGUAUCAAACAGGAUUAGAUACCCUAGUAGUC
rnacentral:rRNA from 1 species